ensembl:lncRNA
UUCAAAAAUCUGACCGAUGAACAAACGAAAUUGACCUAAAAAGUAAACUGAAUCAAUAAAGUGGUUGAUUUCUCUCUCAGCCGACGCGGAUCAACGACCUCUCGAAACACAAACAGACCAACACACCCGAAUACUCAACAUCCAGCUGUGAAAGGACGUUUAACAAAGCUGGGCUAGCAGUUUCCCCCUGCUUCCAUGGUUUGUGCUAAGCUAGGCUAACAGGAACCACGUCCCUUUUCAAUCAUAAACAUUACAGAUGUCCUUAGAAGAGAAAAGAAAAAAGGUCUCCGUUAAUUUAUACAUUGACUCAUACAAAAGUUCCAUGUGACUCAGAAGGUUAAAGAAGUGAAACAUUUUCUUUCUUUUCGCACACUUCUUCUUUUCUUCUUUUCGGGAAAUGUUUGCCGCUGUUGACCUCUUGUUUUCUGUGUGUGUGUGUGUGUGUGUGUGUGUGUGUGUGUGUGUGUAGAAUCAUCAGCUGAAUUUCUCUCUCUUGGUCGUCCCUCCGGCUCUCAAGAACUUCCUAAAAAUUGCAGGAGCUUUGAGAAUAAUUUCUGGCGUAGAUUUAUUCUGCUGAAUAUUUGGAUUUUAUCGUCGGCUUUCUCCUCCGGCGGCUCAGAGACUUCACGCCAGUUCCCUCAGGAAUCAGAGAGCUCUGGUGUGUCAGGUUCGUCACAAUGCUCGCUCGUUGUUUCCUCGUCGUCCUGCUGUCGUGGGCCACGCCCCUGCUGGUCGCCAUGGAGACCUGCCAGGCAUCAGGGAGGCACGGUAUUCCAGGUAUUCCCGGGCUGCCCGGCAGAGACGGUCGUGAUGGAGACAAAGGAGACAAAGGAGAGGCAGGUAACCAGAACGUUUGGUUUAUGCAUUUGUUCGAGCAGUGCUUCUCAAAUGGGGCACAUGAAGGCACUUA